rnacentral:rRNA from 1 species
UGCCUUCAUUAGGUGAAGAAAUUUACUUUUGGAGCCGAAGGAGGUUGCAGAGAAAUGGGGGUGGCGACUGUUUACUAAAAACACAGGACUCUGCUAAGUCGCAAGACGAUGUAUAGGGUCUGACGCCUGCCCGGUGCUGGAAGGUUAAGGGGAUUUGUUAUUUUUCCCGCCUCGGUGGGACUGAGAAGCAUUGAACCGAAGCCCCAGUAAACGGCGGCCGUAACUAUAACGGUCCUAAGGUAGCGAAAUUCCUUGUCGGGUAAGUUCCGACCUGCACGAAUGGCGUAACGACUUCCCCACUGUCUCGACCAGGGACUCGGUGAAAUUGAAUUCGCGGUGAAGAUGCCGCGUACCCACGAAAAGACGGAAAGACCCCGUGAACCUUUACUACAGCUUGACAUUGGAUUUUGGGCUAGUAUGUGUAGGAUAGGUGGGAGACGUUGAAAUCUCGACGCCAGUCGGGACGGAGUCAUCCUUGAAAUACCACCCUUGUUAGUUUAGAAUUCUAACCUUGGCCCGUUAUCCGGGUCGGGGACAGUGUCUGGUGGGUAGUUUGACUGGGGCGGUCGCCUCCCAAAGAGUAACGGAGGCGCGCGAAGGUUCCCUCAGGCUGAUUGGAAACCAGCCGAAGAGUGUAAAGGCAUAAGGGAGCUUGACUGCGAGAGAGACAUCUCGAGCAGGUACGAAAGUAGGUCUUAGUGAUCCGGCGGUUCUGUAUGGAAGGGCCGUCGCUCAACGGAUAAAAGGUACUCCGGGGAUAACAGGCUUAUCGCGCCCAAGAGUUCACAUCGACGGCGCGGUUUGGCACCUCGAUGUCGGCUCAUCGCAUCCUGGGGCUGGAGCAGGUCCCAAGGGUUUGGCUGUUCGCCAAUUAAAGCGGUACGUGAGCUGGGUUUAGAACGUCGUGAGACAGUUCGGUCCCUAUCUUUCGUGGGCGCAGGAUAUUUGAGAGGAUCUUUCCCUAGUACGAGAGGACCGGGAUGGACGAACCUCUGGUGUUCCAGUUGUCGCGCCAGCGGCAUAGCUGGGUAGCUACGUUCGGAAUGGAUAACCGCUGAAAGCAUCUAAGUGGGAAGCCAACCUCAAGAUAAGAUAUCCCUUUCCCGUGGAAACACGGGAGCUGAAGACCCCUUGUAGACUACAAGGUUGAUAGGCCAGGUGUGUAAGUGUAGUAAUACAUUUAGCUAACUGGUACUAAUAGGUCGUGCGGCUUGGCCAUAAAAC